rnacentral:rRNA from 1 species
CUUGGCCUACGGGGGGCAGCAGUGGGGAAUAUUGCACAAUGGGGGAAACCCUGAUGCAGCGACGCCGCGUGAGUGAAGAAGUAUUUCGGUAUGUAAAGCUCUAUCAGCAGGGAAGAUAAUGACGGUACCUGACUAAGAAGCCCCGGCUAACUACGUGCCAGCGGCCGCGGUAAUACGUAGGGGGCAAGCGUUAUCCGGAUUUACUGGGUGUAAAGGGUGCGUAGGUGGCAGGGCAAGUCAGAUGUGAAAGCCCGGGGCCCAACCCAGGUAGUGCAUUUGAAACUGUCAAGCUGGAGUGCAGGAGG